rnacentral:tRNA from 1 species
GGAUAUAGCUCAGUGGUAGAGCAUUUACCUAGCAUAUGCAAGGCCCUGAGUUCAAUCCCCAGCACCA